AGCGAACGCUGGCGGCAGGCCUAACACAUGCAAGUCGAACGAAGUCUUCGGACUUAGUGGCGGACGGGUGAGUAACACGUGGGAACGUACCUUUUGGUUCGGAACAACUCAGGGAAACUUGAGCUAAUACCGGAUGAGCCCUUAGGGGGAAAGAUUUAUCGCCGAAAGAGCGGCCCGCGUUAGAUUAGCUAGUUGGUGAGGUAAAGGCUCACCAAGGCUACGAUCUAUAGCUGGUCUGAGAGGAUGAUCAGCCACACUGGGACUGAGACACGGCCCAGACUCCUACGGGAGGCAGCAGUGGGGAAUCUUGCGCAAUGGGCGAAAGCCUGACGCAGCCAUGCCGCGUGAAUGAUGAAGGUCUUAGGAUUGUAAAACUCUUUCGUGGGGGACGAUAAUGACGGUACCCCAAGAAGAAGCUCCGGCUAACUUCGUGCCAGCAGCCGCCGUAAAAC
rnacentral:rRNA from 1 species